GACGAACGCUGGCGGCGUGCCUAAUACAUGCAAGUAGAACGCUGAAGCGAGGAGCUUGCUCUUCUUGGAUGAGUUGCGAACGGGUGAGUAACGCGUAGGUAACCUGCCUGGUAGCGGGGGAUAACUAUUGGAAACGAUAGCUAAUACCGCAUAAAAUUGAUUAUUGCAUGAUAAUUAAUUGAAAGAUGCAACUGCUUCACUACCAGAUGGACCUGCGUUGUAUUAGCUAGUUGGUGAGGUAACGGCUCACCAAGGCGACGAUACAUAGCCGACCUGAGAGGGUGAACGGCCAACAUGGGAAUGAGACACGGCCCAGACGCCUACGGGAGGAAGCAGUAGGGAAUCUUCGGGAAUGGGGGGAAACCUGACCGAGCAAAGCCGCGGGAGGGAAGAAGGUUGUCGGAUCGGAAAGAUCGGUUGUAAGAGAAGAAAGGGUGUGAGAGUGGAAAGUUCACACUGUGACGGUACCUUACCAGAAAGGGACGGCUAACUACGUG
rnacentral:rRNA from 1 species